GAGGAGUGUGGCCUGCUGCAAUCCAUGGGGCCUGAAAGGGUCAAACACGGCUUAGUGACUAAACAACAGCAACUAGGCACAGAGGGCGUGACUACUCCUAUGCCCUGCAGCCUGUGGAGCGCCUGACCCUAGGGGUUGCCAUCUGCACUGUGGUCUACAUGACUGGCACCUCCCAGUGCGGUGGGAGGCACCAUUUGCUCAGCUGCACACCGUGAUCCUGCCAGCCCCCUCCAGUGGCGCUCCCAGUCCAGAAAAGGAGUCACUCAGUCGUGUCUGACUCUGCGACUCCCAUGGACUUCAGCACACCAGGCUUCCCUGUCCUUCACGAUCUCCCGGAAUUUGCUCAAACUCAUCUCCAUUGAAUCAGUGAUGCUAUCCAACCAUCUCAUCCUGUGUCAUCCCCUUCUCCUCCUGCCUUCAAUCUUUGCCAUCAUCAGAGUCUUUCCCAAUGAAUCAGCUCUUCACAUCCAGUGGCCCAAGUAUUAGCACAACAUCCAUCAUCAAGUAGGCACUGGAUAAAGAGUGCCGCUCUUUGUCUCAUCAUAAUCUUGUCUUCGGGCUUCCUGGUGGUCCAGUGUUUAAGAAUCUGCCUGCCAACGCAGGGGACACGAUUCAGUCCCUGGUUGGGGAAGAUCCCACAUGCUGCGGGGCAGCUAAGCCCAGGAACACAACUACUGAAGCCCUCGCGUGCCUGUGUUCCGCAACUAGAGAAGUGGCCACAGUGAGAAGCCUAUGCACCUCAACUAGAGAAUAGCCCCUGCUCUCCACAGCUAGAGAAAAGCCCGUUCGCAACAACAAAGACCCAGUGC
ensembl:lncRNA